UCUGAUUUCAACAAUUUAAGAUGUUUCCAUCUGAUUUCUGGUUUUACAUGUAAGAUUUCUUGAUGGAAAAUGGGAGGGGUGGAGGUGGGGGUUUCCCAUUUCAAGCUUGCUUCACUGAGAUUUCUGGAUUUACUAUGAACCUUUGGUUUUAAUUGUAUGUUUUCUUGAUCGUUGGAAAUGGGAGGGAUGGGGGUUUCCUAUUUCAAGAAUUUACGAAUAAACUUUUGAACAAGACUGAAAAUCUUAGUUGGUCGAAUCAACUUUGUGAGUUUUCUAUCUUUAUUGAUCUUUACUUCCUGCUUCAUUUCUGUUCUGGGUAUUAUUUUGGAGAUUUUUGGUUUUAACGGUAAUAUUUCUUGAUGGUUGAAAAUGGAAGGGGUGGGGGUGGGGAAUUACAGAAAUGUUUUUGGAAUAACAGAUUUCUGGGUUUACUAUGAACCUUUGGUUUUAAUUGUAAGAUUUCUUGAUCGUUGAAAAUGGGAGGGGUGGAAGAUGGGGGUUUCCGAUUUCAAGAAUUUAGGAUGAAAAUCUCAAUUUUUUUGUUGUUGUCAUAAUCUGUGUUUGUCGUUUCUUGUUACUCUACUUCUAUUCUGGUUUUCAUAACAUCGCCUUUAAAUUUAAUGUUUGAACACAACUUUGAUUUGUUUAGAGGAAUGGCUACAACAUCAGCUUACCUGAUUCAAGAUCAGAAUAUUAGCCUACACUAUAAUGAUACAAAUUUCAUCUAACAACUGGAAUAUACAUUGGUGUGAUAUACUAUUUCUUAGCAGGGGGCUUUUCUGGUGGGAAAGAAUGGUAUCUCAAAGAAAAGAGGAGGGGGGAUUGGUGGAAGAAAAGCACUUAAUGAUAUCUCAAAGCCAUCUGCUCUACAAGCAUCAAAGAAAUAUAAUUCCACAAAUGUGAGGGGAAGAUCUUGAUUUUCCUCUAGAAACAAAUUUAGUGCAGGAAGAAAAGAUAAUUAUUCUAAAGUUUUGGAGAAAAAGGGUGGCAGGAAAGCACUAGCUGAUCUUGCAAACUCAACCAAGUCAUCAUCUGUUGCAGAAUCAGAAUUGCGUCAAAGCACAGAGAAAGGCCAUGGACAUGAGUUGUUUUCUCAAGGAAGUUGGAUUAGAUCAUGAUGAUGUCCCUGUGCAUCUAGGAGCAUCUACACAUGCCCUUGAACUAUCAAUGAAGUCGAAGUCAUUGACAUAUCAGCCAGAAAGCCCAACGAAGCAUUAUGUCCAAGUAGAAGAGCUGCCAGAACUGAUCUUUUAUGAUCAGGUCCGUUGUAUAUCUUUUUCCCCUUGUGCUGCAUCUCCUAAAUCAGUAAGGCCACGAUAUAUCAGAUGGCUGGAUGACAGUGUUCUAGAUUUUGCAUUGAUUUGGAACACCUAUCCAUUCAAAGAAUUGAUGGACACUACUUUCAACUCAAGGAUCACUCGCAGCCCUUUGAAAUAUAUCCGUUGUAGUCAUUGCAGUGUUGGUGGAGAAGACAUAAAAUUUAGCGUAAUGGUCAGCCUUUUCCAAUGGAUACAGAAGAGAAGAAGCGGUCCAAGAUCCGGAAUGUGAUACCUUCUGCAGGAAGCCUCAAGACAAUUUUGCUUCCAUGCGACUCACUUUUAUGGCCUUAAGGAGCACGUGCUAGCCACUUGCCUCAUUGACGCACUUUCCAUGUCCGGCGACUCCGAUGAUGCCCACCAUCUCCUCAACUGGCGGAAAGGCAGCCCUAAAACUGCCUCUAAUUCCGGCAACUUCUCUCUUGUUCCCACUGAGGGGCUUCUCUGGUGGGAAAGAAUGGUAUCUCGAAGAAAAGAGGAGGAGGGAUUGGUGGAAGAAAAGCACUUAAUGAUAUCUCAAAGCCUUCUGCUCUACAUCAAAGAAAACAUUUUGCUGAAUCCUUGAAGAGAAUAACCAUAUCUCAUUGCCAGAAAUUGAAAUUGGAGCAGCCAGUUGGUGAGAUGAGUAUGUUUCUGAAGGAAUUGAGAGUGAAAGAAUGUGAUUGUAUAGAUGAGUAUUUGGAGUUUCCACAACCUUACUAGGAGGUUUUUGAUUCCUACUGCCACUAAAAGACUCGAUAUUUGGAAUUGUGAGACUGCUGAAAUACUUUCGGCCGCAUGUGGGGGGACCCAGAUGACGUCACUGAUUAUUGAGGACUGUUGGAAGUUGAAGUGGCUGCCAGAACGUAUGCAGGAACUCCUUCCAUCUCUUAAUACACUGCAACUGCAUAAUUGUCCAGAAAUAGAGUCCUUUCCUCAAGGAGGAUUGCCCUUCAAUUGACAAGUCCUUUGGAUCAUCAAUUGCAAGAAAUUGGGAGUUGCCUUCCUCUAUUCAAAUUCUUACCAUAGAGAAUCUGAAAACAUUAAGCAGCCAACAUCUCAAAAGCCUCACCUCUCUUCAGUAUCUAACUACUUAUUAAUUACCUCAAAAUCAAGUUCAGUCACUGCUGGAAGUAGGGCGUCUUCCCUCCUCUCUUUCUGAGCUACAUUUAUAUGACCAUCAGGAGCUCCAUUCACUAGGUCUUUGGCACAUAACUUCUCUUCUACGUCUAUGCAUCCAAAAUUUCCCUAAUCAAAUUCAGUCACUGCUGGAAAUCGUCAUCUGUUGCAGAAUCAGAAUUGUGUCAAAGCACAGAGAAAGGCAAUGGACAUGAGUUGUUUUUUCAAGGAAGUUGGAUUAGAUAUCAUGAUGAUGUCCCUGUGCAUCUAGGAGCAUCUCCACAUGCACUUGAACUUUCAAUGAAGUCGAAGUCAUCGACAUAUCAGCCAGAAAGCCUAACGAAGUAUUAUGUCCAAGUGGAAGAGCUGCCAGAACUGAUCUUUUAUGAUCAGGUCUGUUGUAUAUCUUUUUCCCCUUGUGCUGCAUCUCCUAAAACAGUAAAGCCACGAUAUCAGCUGGCUGGAUGAGAGUGUUCUAGAGUUUGCAUUGAUUUGGAACACCUAUCCAUUCAAAGAAUUGAUGGACACUAAUUUCAACUCAAGGAUCACUCGCAGCCCUUUGAAAUAUAUCUGUUGUAGUCAUUGAUUAGAAGUGAUGCAGUUGUGCCUAUGAUCACUGCCAUUCAUGUUCCUGCAACUUGCAACAUGGACAUUUCUCCAUCUCACUCAGAUGGAUCAUUAGUCUCCAUGGAUGAAUCUAUGUCAACUUCUGACACAGUGAGAACUCCUGAGGUCGAAUACAUAGAUGACCAUGAAUUGUGGAUUUGGAAUCAGGGGAUAAAAUUGUCAACAUUGAUAAAUUAUGCGCUACAAUGGGCCUGUGAGGAAGGAGAGCAAGGGCAGUUGCCUGUCUUGGUAUUAAGCAUGAAGGAAACCGAUAAGAAAAAGAGGCCAGCUUUUGUCUUCCUGCAUAGUACAAACAAAUGUAAAGAGUGGUUACGGCCAUUACUAUAGGUGAUAUUCUGUUUUCUUAAAAGUACUCCCCAUACUACCAUCGAGCAGAAGCAAUGAAUGACAAUUCUAUGUACGAUGGGCACCUCGAGCCUCCAGAGGGGUGGGGGGCUCGGAGCACGAUGCCUCGAGCGUCCCGGGACCUAAUGGAGUGAUGGAGCGUCUUUGUUGUAUUUUGAGCUUUGUUGUAGAUCGAUUAUAAAGGAUAGUAGAUUGGUUGCUUGUCUAAGUUUUAAAGGACGGUAGAUCGGUUACUUGUCUAAAUCUUUAGGUUGAGUUGGAUUAACUAGUUAGUCGAAUCAUCUAUGUUUUAGUCAAGCCUCUUUACAUCAUUGUUUUGAUGUUCUCUUGGGUAGAGUUGCCUAGGAGUGCCAACUUGAUGUGUGGGUGUAACAGAGUUGCUGCUUGUUUAUGCUCUUAUCUUUGAGAUCUGAGUUGGUGACUAGAGUUAGCCUUGUUGGAUUCUUGAAGUCUAGAUCCACUAGAGUUAGUUGGUUUAGUGGCAAUAGAGUUAUUGCUUAGUUUUUUUGCUUGUAGUAGAGUUGUUAAAACAAGGAGGAAUGGAUUAAAGUGUUUUUAAUUCCUAUGCUACAAUCUAGAGUUUGUAAUCUAAAGUUUUGCUCUGCUUUGAGUGAAAUGGAGUUCGGUUGGAAA